rnacentral:sRNA from 1 species
UUGAAAAAUGAAUUAAGAAGGAAAUACUUGACCCAAGUGGAUAUACUGCUACAAGGUGCAGAGUAUUUUGAGGAUACUGCAGUCAUAUCUCCGGAAAGAGUCCUGGUGACCCAGCGAAACCAGCUUCAUCUCCCAGAGAAUGGGAUCCUUUGCAUCCUUCCUCCACAGACAUGGCCUUAGUACCUAGAAAUGACAGCCUCUCCCUACAAGAGACCAGUAGCAGUAGCUUCUUAAGCAGCCAGCCCUUUGAAGAUGAUGACAUUUGCAAUGUGACCAUCAGUGACCUGUACGCAGGGAUGCUGCACUCCAUGAGCCGGCUGUUGAGCACAAAGCCAUCAAGCAUCAUCUCCACCAAAACGUUCAUCAUGCAAAACUGGAACUCCAG